CCUACGGGUGGCAGCAGUGGGGAAUAUUGCACAAUGGGGGGAACCCUGAUGCAGCGACGCCGCGUGAGUGAAGAAGUAUUUCGGUAUGUAAAGCUCUAUCAGCAGGGAAGAAAAUGACGGUACCUGACUAAGAAGCCCCGGCUAACUACGUGCCAGCAGCCGCGGUAAUACGUAGGGGGCAAGCGUUAUCCGGAUUUACUGGGUGUAAAGGGAGCGUAGACGGCAGAGCAAGUCUGAAGUGAAAGCCCGCGGCCCAACUGCGGGACUGCUUUGGAAACUGCCCGGCUGGAGUGCAGGAGGGGCAGGCGGAAGUCCUGGUGUAGCGGUGAAAUGCGUAGAUAUCAGGAGGAACACCGGUGGCGAAGGCGGCCUGCUGGACUGCAACUGACGUUGAGGCCCGAAAGCGUGGGGAGCAAACAGGAUUAGAUACCCCGGUAGUC
rnacentral:rRNA from 1 species